UUUCCCUUUAUAUUUUGUUCUCUAUUGUUCUUAAUUUGUACUAUGUUUGUGUACUGUACCAUUGUCUAUGGUGUCCCCGACUGGAGACACUGUUUGAUACUAAAAAGCCACAUAGAUAACGCAAAUGUGUUUCAGGGCUGACAGCCAAUUUAUACAUCUGAGAAAGGAGUGUCUCAUAUUCUGAAAUACAUUUGCAUUAUGUAUGUGCCUUUUUAUAUGAUUCAUGUUUGAACAAAAUUCUGUUAAUGCAAAGACACUCCAGCAUAAUCAUAUUACUACUACUACUGAAUGGUUUCUGCACCUUAAAUUAGGCUAGUUUUUUUCCCCACCACUCUGCUGCUUAAAAGGCACUUUAUGGAUGAUUAUGUCAUUCUGUGGUUCACAGGUAGUCAGCUGACACAGGACAACAACUUCCAGAAACAAAUAAACCCAUAUUUUUCCUGGUGUUUUGAGUACUGGACACUAGACCUGCUACAGUACUGAAAUGUAUGGUACAGCAGAACUGAAAUGAAACAGAUGGCACUGUAGUCAUAUGAUGGAGAACUGAAAAUACUUCUUCUCAAAAAAGGCUACAUCAUAAUACCAAAAUAAUCUUGGGUAAAAGCAUUAUAAUUACUGGAGGAUAAAAGAAAGUUCUCAUGACCAUCAUAAUGCACAGCUCAUUGACCAUUAAGAAGUUGAGCAGAUUGUGAUUCUGAUGAGACUCUUCACUUGAUGAACACGAUGGAAUAUCUGCCAAAAUACUGCAAAACAGGAACGAAGAGUUGAUGAAUGGAGGCAGCCAAGGGAGAAAAAAAUCACAGACAAAUAUGACUCUUGUGUUAUAGUUUUGCAAAUGAUUUUAAAACAGGAAAUAGCAAAAGGAAUUUAUUUUUAUUCCUUUUUUGUUGUUGAAAUUUUAGAAUUCAUUACCUCCUGGCUUGGAAGUCGUAUAUUAACAUUUUACUGCAAACAGCUCAAUUGUGUAUUUUAACAGCAUUACUUUAUACAAAAUAUGAUAAAUAUCAAACUAUAGAUUACUAUGUGUGUUUAUAAACUUUGUAUUUUAUUUCUUAAGGUUUUUUGCUUGUUAAUUAUUUACAAUUAAUUAUUCGUCUUAGAAUUUAAACAUUUU